GAUGAACGCUAGCGGGAGGCUUAACACAUGCAAGUCGAAGGGCAGCACGUUCUUCGGAUGGUGGCGACUGGCGAACGGGUGCGUAACGCGUAUGCAACCUACCCUCAACAGGGGAAUAGCCCAGAGAAAUUUGGAUUAAUACCCCAUAGUAUUACAGAUUCGCAUGUUUCUGUGAUUAAAGUUCCAACGGUUGAGGAUGGGCAUGCGUGACAUUAGCUUGUUGGUGAGGUAACGGCUCACCAAGGCAACGAUGUCUAGGGGUUCUGAGAGGAUGACUCCCCCACACUGGUACUGAGACACGGACCAGACUCCUACGGGAGCAGCAGUGAGGAAUAUUGGACAAUGGAGGCAACUCUGAUCCAGCCAUCCCGCGUGCAGGAAGAACGGUCCCUAUGGGUUGUAAACUGUCUUUUAUACGAAGGUAACUAAACCCCUCUACG
rnacentral:rRNA from 1 species